AUACGGAGGGUGCAAGCGUUGCUCGGAAUCACUGGGCGUAAAGCGCGCGCAGGCGGUCUUUUAAGUUGGAUGUGAAAGCCUACGGCUCAACCGUAGAACUGCAUCCAAAACUAUUAGACUAGAGUGUGGGAGAGGAAGAUGGAAUUAGUUGUGUAGGGGUAAAAUCCGUAGAGAUAACUAGGAAUACCAAAAGCGAAGGCAAUCUUCUGGAACACUACUGACGCUGAGGCGCGAAAGCGUGGGGAGCAAACAGGAUUAGAAACCCUAGUAGUCC
rnacentral:rRNA from 1 species